CUGUUUAGAUGUGUGUUUUUAAUAUUACAGCAAGGUUUCGAAAAGUGUGGGACAUGCCUCAUAGGGGGAGCAUUGACACAGUGAGGAGGGGGCAGAUGUUGCAAGAACUACAAGAGAACAGGCUGAAGGUUUCUUCAAAAUUUUCCAGGUAUUCUACCACCCAAGCUGUGGAUCCCUGGAGCUCCUCCACAGUGAGGAUUGGCCACUUCCCUAAUUAUUAUUCUCUCUUCCUGGAUAAGAUUAAAUCACACACAGGUGGACACAAUUAGGCAGAGUUGCAAUGAAGCGAUGCAGUGAUUACUACCGGCAAACCCUCUUCCUCCAGCUGACUCAACCUCCAAUCCAACCAAUUACCAUCCACAGCCCUGCAGCUCCUCGGCACCAAGUGGGAAGAAGAAAUAAGAGUUUCUGCCUACAUUAUUCCAAGGAUGAUGAAGUUAAAACUGCUGCAUUGCAAAGAUGGAGGGGAUGGGGGUUUAUCAAUUCAUAGUGUUAUGAACAGCUAGUUAUCAUUGUUCUAUCCGUCGAGGUCGAUCAGAAUCUGCUGACUGGAGCUGAGAACUAGGACUUGUGGCUUUCCUAGCAACAUAAUUAGUGUUUCCACUUUCAUUAUAAAUGAUUCUGAUUAUCAGCAAGAUUUUACAGCAUAUCAUGCAAGGAUUGUUUUUAACCUAACCCAAAGAGUCUUGACUGAAGAAAUUCUCCCACCUGAGUUGAGGAUCUCUGCAGCUACUCCAGAGCUAUCGUGAGCCUUUUGCCUGCUUCUCUGUGCCCAGCAUUUCAGUUUGGGUGGAUGGCUCUGUUCAAAGUAAUUUCUAAAUAAAUGGUUUAAUUUAAAUAAUUUCAUUUCAAUUUUAGGAAGACCAAUAAACAUUUAUAAUUUGCAGGUGAACAACUAUAGAGGACACUGUUGCUUUAAAGGUUUUGUAGUCCUCUGAUAUA